UACAGAGGGGGCAAGCGUUAUUCGGAAUUAUUGGGCGUAAAGGGCGCGUAGGCGGCCUGACAAGUGGAAGGUGAAAUCCCUCGGCUUAACCGAGGAACUGCCUUCCAAACUGUUUGGUUUGAGUCCGGGAGAGGCGAGUGGAAUUCCCAGUGUAGCGGUGAAAUGCGUAGAUAUUGGGAGGAACACCAGUGGCGAAGGCGGCUCGCUGGACCGGAACUGACGCUGAGGCGCGAAAGCGUGGGGAGCAAACAGG
rnacentral:rRNA from 1 species